ACGAUGCUACGAAUAGUAUUUUUUGAAAAAAUAAAAGUUUCGUUGUUAAACAAAAUAUAUUCAUUAGAUUUCGCCAUACCAUCCCACGUAUACUUAUGUAUAUUUCUGAAGUUUAUUUUUCAAGUAAACUAUCAUCUAUAGAGGACCGUGUAAAGCGAUCGUAUUAAGUUACAGUCCGCGAUGAUUUAUGAGGAGAACUGAGCCGACAUCUGUAGGUACCAUUUAUGGGAAAUCCAACCUUUACGGACACCGCGGUAGUAUGUUCGAUUCUAUAUAAAUGAAAUAUGGACAACAAUAGCACUUUAACGGGAAAUGAAAUUGUUUUAUUGUAUAUAUUUUCUACGAUUUUCGCAA